rnacentral:rRNA from 1 species
GACGAACUUUGGCGGCGUGCUUAACACAUGCAAGUCGAACGGAAAGGCCCUGCUUUUGUGGGGUGCUCGAGUGGCGAACGGGUGAGUAACACGUGAGUAACCUGCCCUUGACUUUGGGAUAACUUCAGGAAACUGGGGCUAAUACCGGAUAGGAGCUCCUGCUGCAUGGUGGGGGUUGGAAAGUUUCGGCGGUUGGGGAUGGACUCGCGGCUUAUCAGCUUGUUGGUGGGGUAGUGGCUUACCAAGGCUUUGACGGGUAGCCGGCCUGAGAGGGUGACCGGCCACAUUGGGACUGAGAUACGGCCCAGACUCCUACGGGAGGCAGCAGUGGGGAAUAUUGCACAAUGGGCGGAAGCCUGAUGCAGCAACGCCGCGUGCGGGAUGACGGCCUUCGGGUUGUAAACCGCUUUCGCCUGUGACGAAGCGUGAGUGACGGUAAUGGGUAAAGAAGCACCGGCUAACUACGUGCCAGCAGCCGCGGUGAUACGUAGGGUGCGAGCGUUGUCCGGAUUUAUUGGGCGUAAAGGGCUCGUAGGUGGUUGAUCGCGUCGGAAGUGUAAUCUUGGGGCUUAACCCUGAGCGUGCUUUCGAUACGGGUUGACUUGAGGAAGGUAGGGGAGAAUGGAAUUCCUGGUGGAGCGGUGGAAUGCGCAGAUAUCAGGAGGAACACCAGUGGCGAAGGCGGUUCUCUGGGCCUUUCCUGACGCUGAGGAGCGAAAGCGUGGGGAGCGAACAGGCUUAGAUACCCUGGUAGUCCACGCUGUAAACGGUGGGUACUAGGUGUGGGGUCCAUUCCACGGGUUCCGUGCCGUAGCUAACGCUUUAAGUACCCCGCCUGGGGAGUACGGCCGCAAGGCUAAAACUCAAAGGAAUUGACGGGGCCCCGCACAAGCGGCGGAGCAUGCGGAUUAAUUCGAUGCAACGCGUAGAACCUUACCUGGGUUUGACAUGGAUCGGGAGUGCUCAGAGAUGGGUGUGCCUCUUUUGGGGUCGGUUCACAGGUGGUGCAUGCCUGUCGUCAGCUCGUGUCGUGAGAUGUUGGGUUAAGUCCCGCAACGAGCGCAACCCUUGUUCACUGUUGCCAGCACGUUAUGGUGGGGACUCAGUGGAGACCGCCGGGGUCAACUCGGAGGAAGGUGGGGAUGACGUCAAGUCCUCAUGCCCCUUAUGUCCAGGGCCUCACGCAUGCUACAAUGGCUGGUACAGAGAGUGGCGAGCCUGUGAGGGUGAGCGAAUCUCGGAAAGCCGGUCUCAGUUCGGAUUGGGGUCUGCAACUCGACCUCAUGAAGUCGGAGUCGCUAGUAAUCGCAGAUCAGCAACGCUGCGGUGAAUACGUUCCCGGGGCU